rnacentral:rRNA from 1 species
AUUGAACGCUGGCGGCAUGCCUUACACAUGCAAGUCGAACGGUAACAGGUCUUCGGAUGCUGACGAGUGGCGAACGGGUGAGUAAUACAUCGGAACGUGCCCGAUCGUGGGGGAUAACGAAGCGAAAGCUUUGCUAAUACCGCAUACGAUCUACGGAUGAAAGCAGGGGACCGCAAGGCCUUGCGCGAACGGAGCGGCCGAUGGCAGAUUAGGUAGUUGGUGGGAUAAAAGCUUACCAAGCCGACGAUCUGUAGCUGGUCUGAGAGGACGACCAGCCACACUGGGACUGAGACACGGCCCAGACUCCUACGGGAGGCAGCAGUGGGGAAUUUUGGACAAUGGGCGAAAGCCUGAUCCAGCCAUGCCGCGUGCAGGAUGAAGGCCUUCGGGUUGUAAACUGCUUUGUACGAACGAAAGACUCUGGUUAAUACCUGGGUCCAUGACGGUACCGUAAGAAUAAGACACCGGCUAACUACGUGCCAGCAGCCGCGGUAAAAGUA